rnacentral:rRNA from 1 species
UACGGAGGAUGCGAGUGUUAUCCGGAUUUAUUGGGUUUAAAGGGUGCGUAGGCGGAUUUUUAAGUCAGCGGUAAAAUGUCCGGGCUCAACCCGGGCCGGCCGUUGAAACUGGGGACCUUGAGUGGGCGAGAAGUAUGCGGAAUGCGUGGUGUAGCGGUGAAAUGCAUAGAUAUCACGCAGAACUCCGAUUGCGAAGGCAGCAUACCGGCGCCCGACUGACGCUGAGGCACGAAAGCGUGGGGAUCGAACAGG